GCGAGACUCCGUCCUAAGAAAAAAAAGUCCGUGCUGGCAUUGUUUUUAUGAAAGAAGAAAACUGGAAACAAAUACCCAUCAAUACAACAAUGAACAAAUUACAUUUAUUCAAUGGAAAUAACUAUUUAAGAAUAGAAAUCAAAUUAGAGGUGAAUGUAUCAGUAUGGAUGAUUCUCAAAAUCACAGCACUUAGGUGCACUUUUGCCUGUCAAUUCUAUCUUUUCUAACUUUAUUGUAAUUUUAUCACUAGCCCCAAACCUCGUUCUCUUCCCAGGGCACUGGGUCCACUCUGGAGCAUCCCAGAGCUGAGUCAAUCCUUCUGGAAGCAGGCGCACCCCUGGCUGCAUAGGAUGCCAUUUUGCUGAACUACUGGUUCAGAGACACAAGAGCCUGAAAUCUAUGGGAAUACAGAGCCAGAAAACUCAGGCACAGACCAGGACAAUCUCCGAGGUAUUUGCGGCAGGUAGCUGCUAGACGCUUCCCUCUGCCAGCCCGGUGCCUUGCUAGCUGUGGAGGAGGUGCAGUGCGUGCCUGUCCCUGUCACCAGGAGCUGGUCAUCAACAGAAGCUGCUCCUUCCAAGCCGGCCGCGCACCUACUACAUCAUCAUCAGCCGUGUGUCCGUGGCUCUCCCUAUAAUGGGAGCUUCCUGAGAGGCACUUUCAUUUCUCUGUGCUUCCUCUGGGCUCACCAGCAAGUGCUAAACUGAAGGAAGAUAGAGUUAAGUUGUUCACCAAUCAGAGUUUCUGUGGCUGUCCAUCAGUGCAUCUCUUCUAUGACAUGAGACAUUGCUGCGAUGUGUCAUUAUGUUCAAAUUUGCGGGUCGGCCAGGGUGUAUCUGUAUGGAUUGAAUGCGUCCUCCUAAAAUUUGUAUGUUGAAGCCCUAACCCCCAAGAUGAGGAUACCUGGAGUUGGGACCGUUGGGAGGUGAUUAGGUUAGAUGAGGUCAGGUGGACAUGGCUCCUGUGGUCGAGAUUAGCCCUAAUACCAAGAGACAGCAGAGGGCUCCACCCUACUGGUGGCCACGUGCACACAUAGGGAGAAGGGGGCCGCCUACGAGCCAGGAAGACAGCCCUCAUCAGACACCGAUCACACCGGCACCCUGAUCUUGGAUCUGAGGCCUCCAGAACUGAGGGAAAAGAAAUAUCGACUGUUCAAGCCACCCAGUCCACAUGGUUUCGUUAUGGCAGCGGGGCUAAAACAGUGUCCUUCUCUGCUUCUACCCAUAACGGGAUAAAAAUCCCUGGAGCAAACCUUCUGCUUCCUCCCAAAGGAGCCAUGGAAAGCCACUCUCUACAACUCGCAGCCAACACGGAAGUAACAGAAUCCUGUACAUCCACUCGGAGGAACGCACAGAGGACAAAGGCAGGGUCACGGGUUACAAGAACGGCGAAGGCUGACUCUAGAGAACUUGUUAAGCUUCAAACCUACCCUGUGCGUUGGAAGUCUCACUCUGCCACCCAGGCUGGAGAGCGAUGGC